UGUUGUGAGAAUGCUCAAGCAGCCUGGGAAGGGGCCCACAUGGGAGAGCCCAGUGUGGAGGAGCUGAGGCCUUCCACCAGCAUCCAGCACCACAUUGCUGGCUGUGUGAGGAAGCCACCUUAGAAGCAGAUUUUCCAACCCCAAUUGAGCCUUCAGAUGAUUGCAGUCCUGGCUAACAUCUUGUCUGCAGCCUCAUGAGAGACCUUGUGCCUAAGCCAUCCAGCCAACUUGUUCCUGAUUCCUAACUGAGAUAAUUAAGCACAGAAUCCUUCUGUGACCAGAUGUGUGUGGGGUUUUCUUCAUCCACCAAGCAAGCCAUAGAUUCUUCAGAGGAUGCCAGCUGAGAGUCCUCUCAUUCAGUUCAAUUCUGACACCAUCCAACUGGAGACAGAGUCAGAUCACACAGGUCAAGGACUCAGUCCUAAAAAAUGAAGCACCACCAAUGAUGUUGAUUGGAAACCCUAAGUUUGCAAUGGCAUGAUCUUGGCUCACUGCAAUCUCCACCUCCUGGAUUCAAGCAAUUCUCCUGCCUCAGCCUCCCAAGUAGCUGGGAUUAGAGGAAUGCACCACCACACCUGGCU